UGGUAAUUACUUAUUUUGUAGCCACUUUGAGUUACGAUAAUUAUUACGUUAAUUUACGAGAUUAUAGUAACUCCAUACUAAAUGGUUUACUAUAACGUUAUGGUAAAUAUCUCCAUGUGUUUCAGUAACCCAACUAUUGUAAAUAUGUAUUGAUAUUAUCGUAAAUUAGUACAUAAAAUUAUCUUAAAUGGAGGUGGCUACAGAAUAACUUAUUUUAUAGCUG
rnacentral:pre_miRNA from 1 species